rnacentral:rRNA from 1 species
UUGGAGGGCAAGUCUGGUGCCAGCAGCCGCGGUAAUUCCAGCUCCAAUAGCGUAUAUUAAAGUUGUUGCAGUUAAAAAGCUCGUAGUUGAAUUUCGGGGUUAGCAGGUCGGUCGUGCCAAUGGUAUGCACUGGCUCGCUGACUCCUCCUUCUUGUAGAACCGUAAUGCCAUUAACUUGGUGUUGCGGGGAAACAGGACUGUUACUUUGAAAAAAUUAGAGUGUUUAAAGCAGGCUAGCGCCUGAAUACAUUAGCAUGGAAUAAUGAAAUAGGACGUUCGAACCUAUUUUGUUGGUUUCUAGGAUUGACGUAAUGAUUAAUAGGGAUAGUUGGGGGCAUUAGUAUUCAAUUGUCAGAGGUGAAAUUCUUGGAUUUAUUGAAGACUGACUACUGCGAAAGCAUUUGCCAAGGAUGUUUUCAUUAAUCAAGAACGAAAGUUAGGGGAUCGAAGACGAUCAGAUACCGUCGUAGUCUUAACCAUAAACUAUGCCGACUAGGGAUCGGAUGAUGUUAAUUUUUUAAUGACUCAUUCGGCGCCUUACGGGAAAC